rnacentral:rRNA from 1 species
AUGCAGGAUGAAAUCCUUUACGGCAAGAUUCUUAUUACCAAUGAUUACAAGGUAGCCACCUCUAUCCUGGAGAAGACAUGGAAGCCCAAAUUUGAUGUUGAGAAGGAAAAAAGUAGAUGGCUGAACAGUGGAACAUCUAGCCUCCCACUUGGCAAGAACAACUUGAUAAGGUUAUCUGAAAACCAAGAUUACACACACCCUGAGUUUUUGGAUAGACAUGAGCAAGUUGAUUAUGAUGUUAUCUUUUCUGCAUCGCAUGGACGCCCUGCACUGCCCCCACCAGGAUUGCGCUGCCUUGCCCUGCCUGAGAUCACCGCCGGCUACGUCGCUACGCUCCUCAUGUACGACAAACAAAAAAGGCAGAAGCAGCAGCAGUAG